UGUACAUAUGUACAACACGAAAGGAAGAAAGGAAGAAAGAAAGAAAGAAAGAAAAGAAAAGAAAAGAAAAGAAAAGGCCAAGAAUAACACACUCCCCUUUCUGCUUCCUUCUUCUUCCUUCUUCUUCCUUCUUCUUCCUUCU
rnacentral:ribozyme from 1 species